UGCAAGUCGAACGAAGAGCGACGGAAGCUUGCUUCUAUCAAUCUUAGUGGCGAACGGGUGAGUAACGCGUAAUCAACCUGCCCUUCAGAGGGGGACAACAGUUGGAAACGACUGCUAAUACCGCAUACGAUCUAAUCUCGGCAUCGAGGAUAGAUGAAAGGUGGCCUCUACAUGUAAGCUAUCACUGAAGGAGGGGAUUGCGUCUGAUUAGCUAGUUGGAGGGGUAAUGGCCCACCAAGGCGAUGAUCAGUAGCCGGUCUGAGAGGAUGAACGGCCACAUUGGGACUGAGACACGGCCCAGACUCCUACGGGAGGCAGCAGUGGGGAAUCUUCCGCAAUGGACGAAAGUCUGACGGAGCAACGCCGCGUGAGUGAUGACGGCCUUCGGGUUGUAAAGCUCUGUUAAUCGGGACGAAAGGCCUUCUUGCGAAUAGUUAGGAGGAUUGACGGUACCGGAAUAGAAAGCCACGGCUAACUACGUGCCAGC
rnacentral:rRNA from 1 species